rnacentral:lncRNA from 1 species
UCUGAAUCUAGCCCUGAGUCAAAAGACACAAUGAAUUAUGACAAAAGUGGGUGUAUUCCAGAGAUGGGAGGUUAGAAAAUAAUACGAAAAUGAUAUUAUUCUGACCUUACUCUAUUACUCAGCCCCAAUUCCCCCACACUUUGUGAACCUUUUUGUGAGUACAAUGCUAAGGCAGUUUAAAAAAAUGCAACUAUAUACAAGUUCAUCAAUUCCAGAUGUAAAGUCAAUAGCAAUUCAAGUGAUGACCACAGCAGUAACCUGGAGACCUGCAGUCUCAAUGUAUCAGUAAAACACCAAGUACAAACCCCAGGUAAAUGACGGUCCUGAGGAACAGAUGUCAGGACAUCAGAUGUGAAGUUAAAGGAUCCAUCUAAAGACUAUCUGUGGCGACCAAAGGGAGCCACAGUGAGGCAGCCAAACGUGAGCACUGAGAUGAAGGAAAUAGGCCCGAAGCAGCCUGCUCAUGCUCUGAGACUGGAGGAAGAGGGUGAACGCAAUCUCUGGAGGGAAGCCCUGACUUCAGGCAGCUCAGGCACAGAAUGACCCAUUACACUGAGUAGAUACUCCCGUCUGCUAUCAGAUGCCUGCCUAGUGUCACAGCAUCUCAUCUGCAAGAUGACUCACAUCUCGUCUGUGAGAUAACCUACAAUCUGGGUUACAUGCAUCUGCAGCACCUCAUCUGCAAGAUAACCCCCAAUCUGGGUUAUAAGCACAGAACUCAUCUCCUCAGGAAAUGAUAUCAAAUAAUAAGAAAUAAA